rnacentral:rRNA from 1 species
AUUGAACGCUGGCGGCAUGCCUUACACAUGCAAGUCGAACGGUAACAGGUCUUCGGAUGCUGACGAGUGGCGAACGGGUGAGUAAUACAUCGGAACGUGCCUAGUAGUGGGGGAUAACUACUCGAAAGAGUGGCUAAUACCGCAUGAGAUCUACGGAUGAAAGCAGGGGAUCGCAAGACCUUGUGCUACUAGAGCGGCCGAUGGCAGAUUAGGUAGUUGGUGGGAUAAAAGCUUACCAAGCCGACGAUCUGUAGCUGGUCUGAGAGGACGAUCAGCCACACUGGAACUGAGACACGGCCCAGACUCCUACGGGAGGCAGCAGUGGGGAAUUUUGGACAAUGGGCGCAAGCCUGAUCCAGCAAAGCCGCGUGCAGGAUGAAGGCCUUCGGGUUGUAAACUGCUUUUGUACGGAACGAAAAGCCCUGGGUUAAUACCCUGGGGUCAUGACGGUACCGUAAGAAUAAGCACCGGCUAACUACGUGCCAGCCGCCGCCGUAA